rnacentral:lncRNA from 1 species
UUUUGAGGGGGCUAAGUGACAAUGUGUCAUUUACUGUAACAAAUAUUUGGGGAGAAACAUCUAAAUAUUCAUGGUAUUGUUUGAUCACACCACUACAGUAACAGAAAGCAAAUCACUACUUUCGUGGAGUGGAGCUUUGGAAAUUUUGGAAGAGGACGGACUGACAGCGGUGGGAAGAGUAGGAGUAGCAGGCACAGGAAGACAAAUGGAAACAGAAAUAAAGAUUGAUAGAAUGACAGACCCUCCAGACUGGUCUUGAAAAGAGCAAGAUAGAAACAUGCAGAGUCUGAUUUUAUAUAGGAAUACCAGCGACUACAUCCACAGACUGCAAGCAGGGCUCCUGCUCGGUGAUUAAUGAGAGUCUGAAGGAGAAACUGGAUUCUCCGAGGGGUGCUAUUUUGUAUUAACAAGGCAAAAUGCCAAGCUCAAAAAUUGAACACCUGAAGAUUUUUAAGAACCAGGGUCUUCAACUGUUGUCUAAUAUGGACCAGCCCCACUUUUGGAGCCAGGGCAAGGAGAGAUGGUUUGGAGAGCUGCGGAAUAGAAGACAAAUGAGGUUUCUUACUCUUGAAACUACUAAAAAAUUAUAUAGAGUUUCUUUAUUACUGUGCUCUAUAGUAUUGUGAUCUAAACAGGCUAUGGCCAACUGACCUAAGAGACCUCCCUUGGUUAUUUUAAAGGAAAAUGUACAAUAAAUUCCAAUCUGAU